GAUGAAGAACGUAGCGAAAUGCGAUAAGUAAUGUGAAUUGCAGAAUUCAGUGAAUCAUCGAAUCUUUGAACGCACAUUGCGCCCGCCAGCAUUCUGGCGGGCAUGCCUGUUCGAGCGUCAUUUCAACCCUCAAGCUCUGCUUGGUGUUGGGGCCCUACGGUUGACGUAGGCCCUUAAAGGUAGUAGCGGACCCUCUCGGAGCCUCCUUUGCGUAGUAACUAACGUCUCGCACUGGGAUUCGGAGGGACUCUUGCCGUAAAACCCCCAAAUUUUUAAAGGUUGACCUCGGAUCAGGUAGGAAUACCCGCUGAACUUAAGCAUAUCAAUAAGCGGAGGA
rnacentral:misc_RNA from 1 species